UUCCCAUUAUGGAGUAAAUAAUAAUAAUGCUGAUAAUAGUAAUAAUAAUGAUAAUCACAAUAAAACUUAUCUGUUGCUUGAUAGUGCCUAUAGUGAUUUAAGAUUGGUAGCUGUAUUAAAGAGUUUCUCUUUUUCAAAGGCUUAUAAGAUUCUGUUCUUGGGAACUUGCACAGUACACAGAAUUGCAGUAAGCCUGCUGCGAAAGAAAUUAAUCUGGCCAUCAUGAUGGAAAUUACAACACACUGGAAUUCCUAGCCCUCCUAGCUGGAAGUCCACUUGAUUAUGCAAUGGCUAUUUGGAGAGAUCAGAGAGGAUGAUGAGAUUCCACAACUCCAGUAUUUUGCUGUGGGGAGAAGAGGAUCGCAAACCACUAUGAAAUUGAGAGCUUACAAACAAGACUAAUCAUUCAUGACAGAACCAUAGAGUUGGGUGGGGGCCUGGUAGGCCAUUUUCUCCAACCUCCGUUUGAUGCAGGAAAUCCAGAACUCGGGCACCCCAACAGAAGGUUGUUCAUCCUCUGCUUACAGACCUCCAGCGAGAGCCCACCAUCCCCCAAGGCAAAAGGGGGAAACUGCAUGGACAGAACCUAUAUCUAACUACUGACAGUCACCCAGAGCAUCUUUUUAUAGCCAUCAAAGUAAGUUCAUCAUUUGCCUCCUGGAGUUUGGGGUCUCUUUUUUCCAUUGUAAUCAUAGCUUCCUCUCUGUUUUUUUCAGCAUAUGUCUGCCUGGCAGGCCAGCGCCACUGCCUGUCUCUCCCUCCGACUGCUGCUGUUCCUUCAUCCUGUUUAUUAUCAGCCCGUGAUGCAGCAUGACCAGCCAGGCCCUCCCAGAGCAUCCAGGAUGCAUGACAUUAACCUGAGGAGCCUUUGAGGAGCCAAACAUCCAUCCCUUGCGCUGAUCCUCUGCAUGACAUUAGAAAUCCUUUUGUUUGCUUGUUUCAAAAUCACCAGUUUCCGAUCUCAAACACAGCUGGUGUACAUUGGGCUAUUACCUUAGCUACAUGAGAGAGAUCACCUCUUAGUAAGCAAGUGGUCUUCAUGGCCAUUCAAACCUAGCAAUACAGGAACAUAGGGAGCUGCCUUAUACAGAGCCAGACCAUUCGUCCACCUAGUUAGUAUUGUCUACACAGACUGGCAGUGGCUUCUCCAAGGUUACAGGUAGGAGUCUCUCUCAGCCCUAUCUGGAAAUGCCAGGGAGGGAGCUUGGAACCUUCAGCAUGCAAGCAUGCAGAUGCUCUUCCCAGAGCGGCUUCAUUCCCUAAGGGAACUAUCUUAUACUCAGUGCUCAAACAUGUCUCCCUUUCAAAUGCAAGCCAGGGCAGACCCUGCUUAGCAAAGGGGGCAAUUCAAGCUUGCUACCACAAGAUCAGCUUGAAGAUCUAAUGAAAGGUCCCUCAAAGGGUAAGAGCAACUGGGGGGGAGAGAUUUUCAUCUGAAUUACAGCACAGGGAAAUACUCCCCACCCCACUGCUAUACCCCACCCCAUUGGCUAUUUUGAUAUUUUGAAAAAACCAUGGAAGCUACAAUGAUGCUUCUACAUCUGGUUUCAUGCACAUACAUCUGCACUUUCCUCAGGAUCUUUUACACUGUUAGGUGGGUUGCUUGUUUUCAGGUAAAAUGGUCCUUAUGGGAUCAUGAGUUGGGAUCAGAAGGAUUAACAAAAUUCGACAAGCAACAAUGGCGAUGGUGUGAUGUUGAUCUUGGUGGGGAAAGGGCCAGCUGGGCAUUACCCACCCCUUGCCUCUCCAGAUUCCUCUUUUCUCUGGAAAAGAGAAUGGAAAGACAUAGUCAACAUUCCUUUGUAUUCCAGGUUUUAGGGGGAAAUGUGUGAGCCAAACAGGAUCCUAGGAGGAUAAACACCCUUCAUGGUGUUCAAGCAUGCUCCUAACCCAAAUGCUCAAAAUACAGAAAUGAAUCUUUAUUAGAAGUUUAGGGACAAGGAUCUGUGGUAGAGGAAAAGACCAGACAUAUAAGGCAGUUAAAGCUUGCAAAUUAACUUCCAGCUCCAUAGGCCUAAUUUUCAGGAUCACUUACAGGUUACAGUUUUUCUAGGGCAGCUUAACCAGGGACAAACAAAGGGCUAGCUGAAGAUUACCAGAACAAUAGGGGAGAAAGAGAUGUGACUACACUGAACCAGGUUGGAGUAGAUGUGGCCAAAACUAUUUUUACAACCAAUAGGAUAUGGCCAAGAUUCCCAACCAAUGGUACUCCAGAUGUUGCUGAACUGCAACCCUCAUCAUCCCCAGUCACAAAGUGUGCGCACAGAGAGGCCUGAACCGGGCUGCAGCUGGGCCGGACUAUCAGUUGGGAAGGUGGGGCCAGGGCUGUCCUUACUGAGCCCUGGCGGGGUGCGGGGCCCAGGGCAAAUCAGCCAGGGGUAGUCGCCCUGCUUGCCAUGCCCUAAGGACAGCCCGGGGUAGGGCAGCUGGAGGAGCCCUUGCUGCUGCCUCCCAAGUAUCCGCCACCUGAGCGUCCACCCCCACCACCUGAAAGCCUUCAUUUCAAAGGUAAAUACAAGCACUCCCACCUACUGCUUUAAUAUUUUAAAAGAAAAACCUUCUUAGACUUCAUUUCAUAGGUAAAUAAAGCCACUUCACCCCCCCACCCCACCACUGCACUGCUUUAACGUUUUAAAAGUAAAGCCUUUUUUAAGAUCAGAAGAUCCCCUGUACUUGUAAAGGGGAAUCCUAGCUGGAUUGCCCUUUACAAGUAUUCCACCCCCCACAGCCAGCCCACAAGCCAUAUCAGCCAGCUUGCAGGCUGGAUUGGAACGGGUUGGGCUCAAUUGAGCCUGAGCUACCUGUAGUGGCUCAAAUCUGGGUCAGAUUCGAGCCGAACCAGGUUAGUGUCUGGCUCGCACAUCCCUAGUUUGUACAGGCAGCUAGUGCAGUUAUAGCAAAUAUAGAGUGUGGCCUAAAUGCUUCCCCAAUCCUUGGUCAGUUUUUGGUGACCAACAGGGGCAUAUCUAGGGUGGGGCAGGCAGGGCACGUGCC